CCUACGGGCGGCUGCAGUGAGGAAUAUUGGUCAAUGGACGAGAGUCUGAACCAGCCAAGUAGCGUGAAGGAUGACUGCCCUAUGGGUUGUAAACUUCUUUUAUAUGGGAAUAAAAUGUUCCACGUGUGGGAUUUUGUAUGUACCAUAUGAAUAAGGAUCGGCUAACUCCGUGCCAGCAGCCGCGGUAAUCCGGAGGAUCCGAGCGUUCUCCGGAUUUAUUGGGUUUAAAGGGAGCGUAGGUGGAUUGUUAAGUCAGUUGUGAAAGUUUGCGGCUCAACCGUAAAAUUGCAGUUGAAACUGGCAGUCUUGAGUACAGUAGAGGUGGGCGGAAUUCGUGGUGUAGCGGUGAAAUGCUUAGAUAUCACGAAGAACUCCGAUUGCGAAGGCAGUUCACUGGACUGCAACUGACACUGAGGCUCGAAAGUGUGGGUAUCAAACAGGAUUAGAUACCCUGGUAGUC
rnacentral:rRNA from 1 species